CCUAUCGGGAGGCAGCAGUGGGGAAUAUUGCACAAUGGGGGAAACCCUAAUGCAGCGACGCCGCGUGAGUGAAGAAGUAAUUCGUUAUGUAAAGCUCUAUCAGCAGGGAAUAAAAUGACGGUACCUGAGUAAGAAGCCCCGGCUAACUACGUGCCAGCAGCCGCGGUAAUUCGUAGGGGGCAAGCGUUAUCCGGAUUUACUGGGGUGAAAGGGAGCGUAUACGGCCGUGCAAGUCUGGAGUGAAAGGGGGGGGCUCAACCCCCGGACUGCUCUGGAACCUGGCCGGCUGGAGUGCAGGAGGGGUAAGUGGAAUUCCUAGUGUAGCGGUGAAAUGCGUAGAUAUUAGGAGGAACACCAGUGGCGAAGGCGGCUUACUGGACUGUAACUGACGUUGAGGCUCGAAAGCGUGGGGAGCAAACAGGAUUAGAUACCCUAGUAGUC
rnacentral:rRNA from 1 species